AACGUAGGGGACAAGCGUUAUCCGGAUUUACUGGGCGUAAAGCGCCCGUAGGCGGCCUGACAAGUUGGACGUGAAAGCUCCUGGCUUAACUGGGAGAGGCCGUUCAAAACUGUCAAGCUAGAGUCUGGAAGAGGAGAGCGGAAUUCCCGGUGUAGUGGUGGAAUGCGUAGAGAUCGGGAGGAACACCAGUGGCGAAAGCGGCUCUCUGGGGACCACCUGACGCUGAGGCGCGAAAGCGUGGGGAGCGAACCGG
rnacentral:rRNA from 1 species